UCUCUUGUAGUUCAGUUGGUAACGAAUCUGCCUGCAAUGCAGGAGACCCAGGUUCAAUUCCUGGAUUGGGAA
rnacentral:tRNA from 1 species